rnacentral:rRNA from 1 species
CGGAUCUCUUGGUUCUGGCAUCGAUGAAGAACGCAGCGAAAUGCGAUAAGUAAUGUGAAUUGCAGAAUUCCGUGAAUCAUCGAAUCUUUGAACGCACAUUGCGCCCUUUGGUAUUCCGAAGGGCAUGCCUGUUCGAGCGUCAUUGCAACCCUCAAGCA